CUUCUUCUUCUUUUUUCUUUUCUUUCUUUUUUUUACGACUCAACGUAUUUUAAACAAAUAUCACAAGUGCAGUAGCGGACGUAACCGUAACCAAUGUCAAUCACGGUCAAAGAUCGUCCUUCGAUGAUCGAUACCCGCUUUAUACCGUCACGAAAUGCGGACAAAAUUCGAAAGCGUCGAUGCAUCUUGUUACGCGUGUUUUUUCUUCUGAUAUUCAAUUAUUAAAACGGAUUACGAUGAUUUAUCACCUUGCUUACGAGUUCAUUUUCUCGAAUUAAAUCUCCUUCGAAAAUUUUCUUCCGCGAGAUCGCGUUGCGCCAUCGCGUAUAUAAAUUAUCUUCUAAUCCUUGGAGCGAGAUGACCGAUAGUCGGAUCGAAAUUAACGUUCAUCGUCGAUUUUUCCAUGGUUCCGUUUAAAAUUUCCAACGAAUGAAAACGAGCGAAAACCUAGAAAUCUAGGAUUCUAAGACGCGUGAACGCGUGUUCGUCGCAUUUGCGAGGAAUUAGAAGCACGUGUAUUUAAAAUUUCGACAUUGAGCGAAUCAUCUUCAUUUUGAACUUAUUAGCGCCAAGAUUAAAUUGUUUUGCAUUUCUAAUCCUUCCAACUAUGUAAUCACCACUGCAGGAUAAACGUUGCGGUUGUAAUUACUAUUACAUUCUGAUGCGCUCAGCUCGGUUCUCUCGAGCUCUCGCGCGGAACUCUUCUUCCACUUCUUCUCGUUUUUUUCUCGUUCGUUAUCCGCGAGCAGAGCGUGCCAUACGAUCCUCCUCUUAUUUUUAAUUAUUCUCUAUUCUUUUCAAACCCGCUCGAUACACAGCCAAACAACUUUUUACGAUUACUAUCGUAUAUCGCGCAUAAUUCCAACAUUUUAUUAUUCCUUCCUUUUUAUUAUUAUUUUUCAUUUCUAUCUUCCUUCUCCAUAAUUUUUCCAUCUUUCGAUUUCGAAUAUCGAAUUUAUUAAAUGUCGAACGCGUGAUUCUAACGAUCUUAAAGUGUGUUCAUUCUUUCGAUAGGAAAGCGAAAAGUGGAAGAAAUAAAGAUUUUCAUCCGGUAUACUUAACGAUGUUUUACGAUAUCGAUAUCAAAUUUAUAGUGCAACGUUAUCGACGUGAUGUUUAAACCGGUUUAAACACGGUCAAAUUAGUACAAAGACGAUUAAGAUAAGUGACAAGGAUAAGCGACGAGUAAUAAAGAUUGGUAGCUUAAUUACGAUUUAAAAUUUUUAACUGGGGGGGUCAAAACUGCGGACAUUUUCAGCCUUUUUCAACUGAAAAAGAUGAACCCACGGUCGAUUCACCUGUCAUAAUCCUACGAAACUGGAGAAAAAAUUUAGAAAAACUCAGCGAUAUAUAAAAUUUGUAGAAUACUUUGGUAUCGACACGAGGGUUAAACGCAUCUUCGUAUAGAUAUUUUUUUUCCGUGGUAUUCGCAUUACGUUGGAUCGCGUUCAUGGCGAUAACUAUUUAAAUUUGGCGUUAUCGAGAACAAAGUACGCCAUUAGGAAUAAUAAAACGGAAUGGUAGAAUCGCGGGGAAUAGUCGAUUCCUUCGAUGGUGGCGCGACACGUUCAAGGCUGUUUCGGCGAGGAAUAAAAAUCCGACGAUAGACGUAAGAACAUAGCGUGGCGAGUAUAAUAGACCGUAUUACAUACGUCGUCCGCAUCUUGGUAGUAUGGUUGCUAACAAGUAGCAAUUACAGAUAAGAAUAAGAUAGAAGGAAUAAAAUCGAGAUCGUACGCACCUGGAAGGAACGAUGGUGAGGAUGAUGGGGAUGAUGAAAUUGCGGUGUGUGAAUCAUGUCGCCGGUCUCGGGAUCCUCGCACCUCGACGACUUCUCGACCUCGACGCUGCUCGAGCUGCUUAUAAUCGGCGACUCGUCGUCCUUUGCACUCGUGGAUUCUUCGAUGCUAUCUUUUUCCUUCUUCUUCACUUCCGGUUUCGUUUCCUAUUAUGUAUAUUAUGUAUAUAUAUAUAUUAUAAUAUAACGUUUUCGUUAACGAUCAGAAAAGCAGAUUUAAAUCGUUCGGUUUCGAGUGUAUUUUAAAUUACGCGAAUAAAUAAAUACGCGAUCUUUGUUCAAAUAUUACGUCGUUUCGAGAUAAUUCGCGAUGAAUUGAAUUUUAAGAAAAUAGUUUCAAUUUUGAAUACGAAGAAGUUAAUAACAACGAACGAAAUUUAAGACUAUUGAAAUUUUGAAACGUAAUAAUGUCUCUCUGUAAAUUCACUUUUAACCUAAAACUAUUAGCCUACUAUUACCUCGUUCUAUCGAACCGGUUGAAUGACCGGUUUUUAAAUAAAAAUUAUAUAUACAUAUA